rnacentral:rRNA from 1 species
AUUGAACGCUGGCGGCAGGCUUAACGCAUGCAAGUCGAGCGGAGAUGAGGUGCUUGCACCUUAUCUUAGCGGCGGACGGGUGAGUAAUGCUUAGGAAUCUGCCUAUUAGUGGGGGACAACAUUCCGAAAGGAAUGCUAAUACCGCAUACGUCCUACGGGAGAAAGCAGGGGAUAUUCGGACCUUGCGCUAAUAGAUGAGCCUAAGUCGGAUUAGCUAGUUGGUGGGGUAAAGGCCUACCAAGGCGACGAUCUGUAGCGGGGCUGAGAGGAUGAUCCGCCACACUGGGACUGAGACACGGCCCAGACUCCUACGGGAGGCAGCAGUGGGGAAUAUUGGACAAUGGGGGGAACCCUGAUCCAGCCAUGCCGCGUGUGUGAAGAAGGCCUUAUGGUUGUAAAGCACUUUAAGCGAGGAGGAGGCUACUGAGACUAAUACUCUUGGAUAGUGGACGUUACUCGCAGAAUAAGCACCGGCUAACUCUGUGCCAGCCGCCGCAGUAACAC